rnacentral:rRNA from 1 species
AUUGAACGCUGGCGGCAGGCCUAACACAUGCAAGUCGAACGGUAACAGGAAGACGCUUGCUUCUUUGCUGACGAGUGGCGGACGGGUGAGUCAUGUCUGGGAAACUGCCUGAUGGAGGGGGAUAACUACUGGAAACGGUAGCUAAUACCGCAUAAUGUCGCAAGACCAAAGAGGGGGACCUUCGGGCCUCUUGCUAUCGGAUGUGUCCAGAUGGGAUUAGCUAGUAGGUGGGGUAACGGCUCACCUAGGCGACGAUCCCUAGCUGGACUGAGAGGAUGACCAGCCACACUGGAACUGAGACACGGUCCAGACUCCUACGGGAGGCAGCAGUGGGGAAUAUUGCACAAUGGGCGAAAGCCUGAUGGAGCAAUGCCGCGUGUAUGAAGAAGGCCUUCGGGUUGUAAAGUACUGUCAGCGGGGAGGAAGGGAGGAAAGUGAAUACGUUUGCGCAUUGACGUUACCCGCAGAAGAAGCACCGGCUAACUCCGUG